rnacentral:rRNA from 1 species
UACGUAGGGGGCAAGCGUUGUCCGGAAUUAUUGGGCGUAAAGAGCGUGUAGGCGGCCUGGUAGGUCUGCUGUGAAAACUCGAGGCUCAACCUCGAGAUGUCGGCGGAAACCAUCUGGCUAGAGUCCGGAAGAGGAGAGUGGAAUUCCUGGUGUAGCGGUGAAAUGCGCAGAUAUCAGGAAGAACACCUAUGGCGAAGGCAGCUCUCUGGGACGGUACUGACGCUGAGACGCGAAAGCGUGGGGAGCGAACAGG